AGUCGACGAUGAACCUCCUUCGGGAGGGGAUUAGUGGCGAACGGGUGAGUAACACGUGGGCAAUCUGCCCUGCACUCUGGGACAAGCCCUGGAAACGGGGUCUAAUACCGGAUACGAGUUUCACCGGCAUCGGUGAUUCUGGAAAGCUCCGGCGGUGCAGGAUGAGCCCGCGGCCUAUCAGCUUGUUGGUGAGGUAACGGCUCACCAAGGCGACGACGGGUAGCCGGCCUGAGAGGGCGACCGGCCACACUGGGACUGAGACACGGCCCAGACUCCUACGGGAGGCAGCAGUGGGGAAUAUUGCACAAUGGGCGAAAGCCUGAUGCAGCGACGCCGCGUGAGGGAUGACGGCCUUCGGGUUGUAAACCUCUUUCAGCAGGGAAGAAGCGAGAGUGACGGUACCUGCAGAAGAAGCGCCGGCUAACUACGUGCCAGCAGCCGCGGUAAUACGUAGGGCGCAAGCGUUGUCCGGAAUUAUUGGGCGUAAAGAGCUCGUAGGCGGCUUGUCACGUCGGUUGUGAAAGCCCGGGGCUUAACCCCGGGUCUGCAGUCGAUACGGGCAGGCUAGAGUUCGGUAGGGGAGAUCGGAAUUCCUGGUGUAGCGGUGAAAUGCGCAGAUAUCAGGAGGAACACCGGUGGCGAAGGCGGAUCUCUGGGCCGAUACUGACGCUGAGGAGCGAAAGC
rnacentral:rRNA from 1 species